rnacentral:rRNA from 1 species
UACGGAGGGUGCAAGCGUUAAUCGGAAUUACUGGGCGUAAAGGGCGCGUAGGUGGUGAUUUAAGUUGGCUGUGAAAUCCCCGGGCUUAACCUGGGGUUGUCAGCCAGUACUGAAUGACUGGAGUACAAUAGAGGGUAGUGGAAUUUCAGGUGUAGCGGUGAAAUGCGUAGAUAUCUGAAGGAACACCAGUGGCGAAGGCGACUACCUGGGUUGAUACUGACACUGAGGCGCGUAAGCGUGGGGAGCAAACAGG